GGCGGGUCCUCAGGGCCAGAUCGUGGGUGGGUUUGUUGCUGGCAGCUUGGUAGCAGUUGGUGCUGUGUAUGUUAUCGCGGCGACGUUUAAUAACCCGAGUUAUCACCGGUUACCUGGUGAAGAUGAAGGGAGAAAUUCUGGGUCAGGCGGUGGUGGCGAGGGUCACUCUCCAUCUGUGUCCGGUGCCGGUGGAGGCGGAGGAGAUAGUGGACACACACAAGGUGGAGGUGAGUCGUGUGGGAUGGCUAUGUACAGUAGUCAUUCGCCGUCUGAUGUAAUCUGGGCACCCACUGCUAGGCCACCACUUCCUCCACCGCCCUUCUAAAGGAGAGAUGUAUUAAAGUUACUGUGAAUUUGUAGAUUUUUUUUCUUUGAAAGAAAAAAACCUUUGGGCGUUGCUUUUAUUUAUCAUCCUCAUUAUUGCUGUUUAAUUUUAUGUUUUCGGUGUUAAUGUAACGUUGUAGUGAUUCUAGCUUGGAG
rnacentral:misc_RNA from 1 species